AGCGUGCGCGUGCCUAUCACAUGCAAGUCGAACGCGAAAGUUUCUUCGGAAAUGAGUAGAGUGGCGCACGGGUGAGUAACGCGUGGAUUAUCUACCUACUGGUACGGGACAACAGUUGGAAACGACUGCUAAUACCGUAUACGCUGGUAACGGGAAAGGGGGCCUCUUCUUGAAAGCUCUCGCCAGUAGAUGAGUCCGCGUUUCAUUAGCUAGACGGUGGGGUAACGGCCUACCGUGGCAACGAUGAAUAGCAGGCCUGAGAGGGUGGCCUGCCACACUGGGACUGGAACACGGCCCAGACUCCUACGGGAGGCAGCAGUGGGGAAUAUUGCGCAAUGGACGAAAGUCUGACGCAGCGACGCCGCGUGGAGGAUGAAGGUUUUCGGAUCGUAAACUCCUGUCAAGAGGGAAGAAACCUAUCAUGAAUAAUACUCAUGGUAAUUGACGGUACCUCUAGAGGAAGCACCGGCUAAUUCAGUGCCAGCAGCCGCGGUAAUACUGAAGGUGCAAGCGUUAAUCGGAAUCACUGGGCGUAAAGCGCUCGUAGGUGGCUUUGUAAGUCAGGUGUGAAAGCCCACGGCUCAACCGUGGAAUUGCACUUGAUACUGCAUCGCUAGAGUAUAGGAGAGGGAAGUGGAAUUUCUGGUGUAGGAGUGAAAUCCGUAGAGAUCAGAAGGAACACCCGUGGCGAAGGCGACUUCCUGGACUAUUACUGACACUGAGGAGCGAAAGCGUGGGGAGCAAACAGGAUUAGAUACCCUGGUAGUCCACGCCGUAAACGAUGGGUACUAGGUGUUGGGGGCUUGACCCUCGGUGCCGUAGUUAACGCGUUAAGUACCCCCGCCUGGGGAGUACGGUCGCAAGGCUGAAACUCAAA
rnacentral:rRNA from 1 species